rnacentral:rRNA from 1 species
AGUCGAGCGAUGAAGUUCCUUCGGGAACGGAUUAGCGGCGGACGGGUGAGUAACACGUGGGUAACCUGCCUUAUAGAGGGGAAUAGCCUUCCGAAAGGAAGAUUAAUACCGCAUAAAGUUGUUGAUUCGCAUGGAUCGAUAACCAAAGGAGCAAUCCGCUAUAAGAUGGACCCGCGGCGCAUUAGCUAGUUGGUGAGGUAACGGCUCACCAAGGCGACGAUGCGUAGCCGACCUGAGAGGGUGAUCGGCCACAUUGGGACUGAGACACGGCCCAGACUCCUACGGGAGGCAGCAGUGGGGAAUAUUGCACAAUGGGGGAAACCCUGAUGCAGCAACGCCGCGUGAGUGAUGAAGGCCUUCGGGUUGUAAAACUCUGUCUUUGGGGACGAUAAUGACGGUACCCAAGGAGGAAGCCACGGCUAACUACGUGCCAGCAGCCGCGGUAAUACGUAGGUGGCAAGCGUUGUCCGGAUUUACUGGGCGUAAAGGGAGCGUAGGCGGAUUUUUAAGUGGGAUGUGAAAUACCCGGGCUCAACUUGGGUGCUGCAUUCCAAACUGGAAGUCUAGAGUGCAGGAGAGGAAAGUGGAAUUCCUAGUGUAGCGGUGAAAUGCGUAGAGAUUA